UAUGGUUGCAAAGCUGAAACUUAAAAGAAUUGACGGAAGGACACACAAGAAGUGGAGCCUGUGGCCUAAUUUGACUCAACACGGGAAACCUUACUCGGCCAGGACACUUUUAGGAUUGACAGAUUGAGAGCUCUUUCUUGAUUAGGUGGGUGGUGGUGCAUGGUCGUUCGUAGUUCGUGGAGCGAUUUGUCUGAUUAAUUUCGAUAACGAACGAGACUCCGGCUUACUAAAUAGUCUAAAGUUCGAAGGGACUUUUCAAGACUUCUUAGCAGGAUAAGUGGCACUUUUUAAGCCACACGAAAUGGAGCAAUAACAGGUCUGUGAUGCCCUUAGAUGUCCGAGGCUGCACGCGCGCUACACUGGAGAGUUCAGAAUGUUUCUUCCUACUUCGACAGAAGUGGGUAACCAUGAAAUUCUCUUCGUGACUGGGAUCGGAGCUUGCAAUUAUUCUCCGUCAACGAGGAAUUCCUAGUAAGCACUAUUUCAUCAGAAUGUGCUGAUUAUGUCCCUGUCCUUUGUACACACCGCCCGUCGCUACUACCGAUUGAAUGUUUUAGUGAGAUCUUCGGCUUGGUUUUCCGAGCGGCUUUCGGGUCGUUCGGUUUAUAUCGAAAAGAUGCUCAAACUGGAUCAUUUAGAGGAAGUAAAAGUCGUAACAAGGUAUUC
rnacentral:rRNA from 1 species